rnacentral:rRNA from 1 species
UAGGGAAUCUUCCGCAAUGGACGAAAGUCUGACGGAGCAACGCCGCGUGAGUGAUGAAGGAUUUCGGAUCGUAAAGCUCUGUUGUUAGGGAGGAACAAGUACCUGUUAAAUAAGCAGGUACCUUGACGGUACCUAACCAGAAAGCCACGGCUAACUACGUGCCAGCAGCCGCGGUAAUACGUAGGUGGCAAGCGUUGUCCGGAACUAUUGGGUGUAAAGCGCGCGCAGGCGGUUCCUUAAGUCUGAUGUGAAAGCCCACGGCUCAACCGUGGAGGGUCAUUGGAAACUGGGGAACUUGAGUGCAGAAGAGGAGAGCGGAAUACCACGUGUAGCGGUGAAAUGCGUAGAGAUGUGGAGGAACACCAGUGGCGAAGGCGGCUCUCUGGUCUGUAACUGACGCUGAGGCGCGAAAGCGUGGGAGCGAACAG